rnacentral:tRNA from 1 species
GGGUAUGUAGCUCAGUGUUAGAGCUUGUGCUUAGCAUGCACAGGACCAUGGGUUCCAACCCUAGAACCA